CCUACGGGUGGCAGCAGUGAGGAAUAUUGGUCAAUGGCCGGAAGGCUGAACCAGCCAAGCCGCGUGAAGGACGAAGGUGCCAAGCAUUGUAAACUUCUUUUGUCAAGGGACAAAAUCAGGCUCGAGAGCCUGACCGAGGGUACUUGAAGAAAAAGCAUCGGCUAACUCCGUGCCAGCAGCCGCGGUAAUACGGAGGAUGCGAGCGUUAUCCGGAUUUAUUGGGUUUAAAGGGUGCGUAGGCGGACUGUUAAGUCAGCGGUAAAAGCCCGGGGCUCAACCCCGGCGAGCCGUUGAAACUGGCUGUCUUGAGAUGUCGAGAGGUAUGCGGAAUGCGCAGUGUAGCGGUGAAAUGCUUAGAUAUUAGAAGGAACACCAAUAGCGUAGGCAGGUUGCUGGGACGGUUCUGACACUAAGGCACGAAAGCGUAGGGAGCAAACGGGAUUAGAUACCCGAGUAGUC
rnacentral:rRNA from 1 species